UGCUACAGCCAUAUUUCCAUGCAGCUCUCGCUUAGUUUCCCACUGAAGCUAAGCAGGGUUGAGCCUGGCCAAUACCUGGAUGAGUGACCUGCUGGGGUAAACUAAUGUUGCUGCUGGAA
rnacentral:rRNA from 1 species